CCUACGGGAGGCAGCAGUGAGGAAUAUUGGUCAAUGGGCGGGAGCCUGAACCAGCCAAGUAGCGUGAAGGAUGACUGCCCUACGGGUUGUAAACUUCUUUUAUACGGGAAUAAAGUGCCUUACGUGUAGGACUUUGUAUGUACCGUAUGAAUAAGGACCGGCUAAUUCCGUGCCAGCAGCCGCGGUAAUACGGAGGAUCCGGGCGUUAUCCGGUUUUAUUGGGUUUAAAGGGAGCGUAGGCGGGGUGUUAAGCCCGCUGUGAAAUGUUGGGGCUCAACCCGGACCUUGCAGUGCAAACUGGCGGUCUUGAGUCCGCGGAAGGCAGGCGGAAUGCGUGGUGUAGCGGUGAAAUGCUUAGAUAUGACGAAGAACUCCGAUUGCGAAGGCAGCUUGCUGGAGCGGAACUGACGCUGAGGCUCGAAAGCGUGGGUAUCGAACAGGAUUAGAUACCCGUGUAGUC
rnacentral:rRNA from 1 species